rnacentral:rRNA from 1 species
CGCUAUCACUCCUACGGGAGGCAGCAGUGGGGAAUAUUGCACAAUGGGGGAAACCCUGAUGCAGCCAUGCCGCGUGUGUGAAGAAGGCCCUAGGGUCGUAAAGCUCUUUCGCCAGGGAUGAUAAUGACAGUACCUGGUAAAGAAACCCCGGCUAACUCCGUACCAGCAGCCGCGGUAAUACGGAGGGGGUUAGCGUUGUUCGGAAUUACUGGGCGUAAAGCGCGCGUAGGCGGACUGGAAAGUUGGGGGUGAAAUCCCGGGGCUCAACCCCGGAACUGCCUCCAAAACUCCCAGUCUUGAGUUCGAGAGAGGUGAGUGGAAUUCCGAGUGUAGAGGUGAAAUUCGUAGAUAUUCGGAGGAACACCAGUGGCGAAGGCGGCUCACUGGCUCGAUACUGACGCUGAGGUGCGAAAGUGUGGGGAGCAAACAGGAUUAGAUACCCUGGUAG